rnacentral:rRNA from 1 species
UACGAAGGGGGCUAGCGUUGCUCGGAAUCACUGGGCGUAAAGGGUGCGUAGGCGGGUCUUUAAGUCAGGGGUGAAAUCCUGGAGCUCAACUCCAGAACUGCCUUUGAUACUGGCGAUCUUGAGUCCGGGAGAGGUGAGUGGAACUGCGAGUGUAGAGGUGAAAUUCGUAGAUAUUCGCAAGAACACCAGUGGCGAAGGCGGCGACCUGGGUAGAUACUGACGCUGAGGUGCGAAAGCGUGGGGAGCAAACAGG